rnacentral:tRNA from 1 species
AAUGAAUUGCCUGAUGAAAAGGGUUACCUUGAUAGGGUAAAUA